UAUGAGUCGUGUCCAUCCAGGAGGUCCUCAAGACCCUAGUUUGCUAUAGCUUCACCCAGAACGUUCAUCAUAUUUCAUAUGAGAAGGACAUGUAUCUGCAUAUAUUCAUUGGCUCUUUCCAUUAGUUUGUUAUUUUUUAAUAAAUUGUAGUUUGUUUCAACAUCAUAUGGUAAAUACAUGUGUAUAUUUAUUAUGACUCAUAUGUUUUCUAUUUGUUGUAUUUCAGGAAAAACAAGAAAUUAGAAUCGAUGAGAAGACUUUUCAAUUGAACGAUUGGCAUCUAACCGAUGACCAAGUUCAAUUAGUGAAUGCGUUUGGAUUGGGUGCUCUAUCUAUCAUCCAAUCAGGUCGAAUUAAUCAUCCUUUGGUCGCAGCCAAUGUAGAGAGGUGGCGUUCCAAGACAAAUUCAUUCCAUUACAACAUUCAAAUUGGUGAGAUGAUACCAACUUUAUUUGAUGUAUACGAGAUUCUAAGACUGACUGUGGAUGGUGAGUCUGUUACAUGUCGUCCUAUUAGUGACCUCCGGGAGUUCAUAGAAAACAAUUUGGGUAUAGUCCCCACUGGAGGCAACCUGACAACCAUUAAGCAUUCAUGGUUAAAGAAAAAUUUUAGGCAAUUCCACCUGAUGCAACCCCUGUGGAAGUACUCAGAUAUACUUGAGCCUAUCUGCACUUCCUCAUUAGCGUUACCAUUUUCGUUGAUGCGUCAGUUGCACCAGUGCUAACGAGAUACUUGCAAUUCUUUGAAGAUAUUGAGGAAGCUGGGGGAUAUGCUUGGGGUGCUGCAACCCUCGUAUUUCUUUAUCAAUCCCUUGGAAAAGCUUGUACAUUCAAGCGAAGACAUUUUAGUGGCUCAGCCACUCUUAUUCAGUGCUGGUCUUAUGAGUAUAUUAUGCAUAUGAGGCUCAUACCACAUAGUAUCUCUCCAAAUAUGCCUAGGGCAAAGAGAUGGGAGCCACUAAAGAACUAUUAUGGCAAUCCACAUAACAUGAUGCCUCCCAUUAGACAAGAAUUGGAUAGCCUCCAACCUAAUGAGGUAAUAUGGAAUCCCUAUUUCAAGCUUGAUGAUGCCAUUUCAGAAGAUAGGCAUCAGACAUUCGAAACUGCAAUAUGAAUAACGACGCUUAUCUUUGACGAUAUUGUCGAGCCGUACAUGCCACAUCGUGUUUGCCGGCAAUUUGGAGCUAAACACGACAUUCUAAGAAAUCCCACAUCUGUUGGUAAGAGAUUUAGCAGACAUGUUGGGCAGCGAGAUUAGCGAAAUGUCAAUUCAGAUAAAAUCCAUAAUUAUUUGUCUCGUCAUGAUCACAUGAUAGCAGACAUUGAAAUCGAUAUUGCCAAUGGGUUGCCCUCAGAGGAGUACAAAGUCUGGUACAACCAAGUGUCCUAUCCUAUAAUACAUAAUGUCUUUAAUCCACCAAAAGACAUAUUGCAACCUUAGAACCAAGAAGAAGAAGAGGUGGUUCUUGAACAUGAACCACAGUAUAUAAUGAGACCUCGAGGAUAUGAGGAUCAGUUGGUAUCUUUAUAUUAACCGAUAACUUGUUUUCGUUUUGUACUUGCUUAUCAAUUGUUAUGUUUAUAUUAACCUACAAAUUGUUUUUGCAGGUUAGUGCAGAUCAGGCUAGUACAACCAUGUUAGCAGAGGCACUUACACUUAGACAAAAGUGGUUUCUUGAAGUUUAUAAUCACGUUAACAACGCGUUUGAAAUGCUGUCUAAGUUUGUGCCUGUCGACAUAGUUGAUAUUGAAGCCAGGAUGGAAAUUUUACGUCAAGUUAAUAAUGAAGUUGUAUAAGAAGAGGGCGGACAAGAUGUAAUGGGUGACAGUAGACAGCCUUCAGAAGACUUAGCUCCAUCCACACAACCUACAGUUGAAGAGCUCAGAAGACAUAACACACGAAAGAAGCAGUAUUAGGCGAAGGGAAAGCGACUAGUGUAAAUGUCUUAUUUGGCAAUGUAAUGGCCAUUGAAUACAUUUGUAAUGUAUUGAAUACAUUUGUAAUGUUAUGAAAGGAUAAUGUAUUGGUCAUUAAAUGUAAUGGUCAUUGAAUACAUUUGUAAUGUAUUGAAUACAUUUGGUAAUCCAUUUUGGACUGUUUCAUGAUUCCUUGA